UACGGAGGGGGCGAGCGUUAUUCGGAAUUAUUGGGCGUAAAGGGCGCGUAGGCGGCACGAUAAGUCAAAGGUGAAAUCCCUCGGCUCAACUGAGGAACUGCCUUUGAAACUGUCGAGCUUGAGUCCGGGAGGGGGUAGCGGAAUUCCCAGUGUAGCGGUGAAAUGCGUAGAUAUUGGGAGGAACACCAGUGGCGAAGGCGGCUACCUGGACCGGAACUGACGCUGAGGCGCGAAAGCGUGGGUAGCAAACAGG
rnacentral:rRNA from 1 species